CUGCGGAAGGAUCAUUACCAGGAAACGGCGUCCUAACCCGGCGCCGCUUCUCAAAACCACCGCGUACACGAACUCGUCGUUGCCUCGGCGGACGCCAGCGGGCGCCCGCCGUGCGGCCCCAACAAGACCCCCGUCGAGAUGGCGUCGUCUGAUCCCACUGGGAGAACAGCGAGAAAGAAUACAACUUCCAACAAUGGAUCUCUUGGCUCCGGCAUCGAUGAAGAACGCAGCGAAACGCGAUAGCUAGUGUGAAUUGCAGAUUUCAGUGAAUCAUCGAGUCUUUGAACGCACAUUGCGCCUCUUGGUACUCCUCGAGGCAUGCCUGUUCGAGCGUCGUUUCGCCCCCCUCAAGCGCGAGCUUGGUGUUGGGGACCGCCUCCCCGAAAGGGCGGCGGCGGCCCCGAAAUGCAUCGGCGGUGCUGGACCCAGCCCGGAGCGCAGCAGACAUGCGGCUUCCUGGCAGCCCAGCGCCCGCCGGACAAGCGACGAGGACUCCUCCAAACGYCGACCUCGGAUCAGGCAGGGAUACCCGCUGAACUUAAGCAUA
rnacentral:rRNA from 1 species